AGCUUUGCGCAGUGGCAGUAUCGUAGCCAAUGAGGUUUAUCUGAGGCGCGAUUAUUGCUAAUUGAAAAAGAAAUAGAUCACCUAAAUAGUCUUCUAUCCAUUUAAAAAAAUGAAAUAAAAAUCAGUUU
rnacentral:snRNA from 1 species